UGCCUUAGUGAGGGGAUUAAAAAAUCAGAAGACUCGUGUGAAGGAAUCUUGGAGUCCUUCUUAAAAGCUAACAAGGAUGGUCGUGGUUUCCACAAGAUAUUGACUUGUGUAGUUGAGAACAAUGGCAUCUACAAACCAAAAAAAAGAAAUGGAAAAGAAAUGAACCUCAAUGCGACAUUAUCUUCAUGCCUGACUGACAGCAUUGAUGAGGAAUUCAUGAAGACUUUCCC